CAGCUCAGGAGGAGGAUUUUCGUUGCUACUGUGCAUCAUUGUUUGCAGUCCCUGUCAGUGGGGGCGAGACUCGGGCUCAGAUCACUGCACCUGAAUCGUGCCUCGUCAUAGAAGUCCUGGAUGAGACAGAGGGAAUCAUGAAUGGAGUCUCUGCUGAACAGAGGACGAGCAACAAAUCAAAGGAUCACUUGUUUGAGCAAGUCUCCAACAAAGGAAGAACACUGGUGCCCCAAACAGCCGUGACUAGCGCUGGGUCCUCAAGAGUCAGCCGCUCCUCUCUCAGUCCAUCACAACCAUCCAGUCAGUCCAAAGCACCCACACAACCUCAAGCUGCUCAGAGGCUCCAUCCAUCGGAGCCUCAGACUUCCGAAGCAGAUCACACAGACAAACCAUUACCCUCUAAAAGUAUGCCACCAGCAAACUUCACUGCUGAGACCCUAAGGACUUCACAGACAUCAAUCAACACCUCAAAGUCGCAAAAGCCCAAUUGUUCCACAACUUUCC